rnacentral:sRNA from 1 species
UUUCUGACAUUUUUACGUUAUUUUUGUCAUUUUUGAAACAUGACAAAAUGAUCGCAUGCGAGUGAAUUUUCUAACAUGGAAAGAGCGCUGAAUAGCGAUACAUUUGCUCUGUUCUGAAUGGAGGGGAGGAGCGCUGAAUCUGCAAAUGUAAAAUGACAUGCGCGUCGCCAGGUGGAGCAAGUCGGACAUGACAUGUAGGAAGGAUGUAGAUAUCGAGAAUUUUUCCGCCAGAUAUUUAUUUCUCGGAUAAAUAAUCCGUAUCCUGGACCAGGGUAGGUUCCGGCCGUAUAUAUUGAGGUGUUCAACCUGGUCGCUUCCCUUUUUCCAGUCUUCGGGUCCCAGAGAUGAGAUAGUUUUGAUGUCGAGACAAGUUUGGGCGAUUGGGCGCUGUGCUGCCUUUUCUGCAAUCAGGCGAUCGUGAAUGUCCAGGUGGUCGAUUCCUAGGACAGUGCUUUUGUUGGGAUUGACCGCAGCGCCCUGUAAUACAGAGCAGAGCCUGUCGCUGUGUCUUUUCCAUAAGCUUAUGAGCAGGUGACAGGCCCCAUGUCUUGCUGAUCAUCUUCUUGCAUGCAUAAAGCGCAAUGGUGGCCUUCUUCACCCUUUCCACUAUAUUGGGUCUCCAUGCCAGCUUGCUGUCCAGUACUGUGCCAAUAAAUGGGUGGGAAAACUAAUUAAUCACAAUUAAGAACCUUAUCGACUGCAUGUGCAUGUACACCAAACCCUAUCUGCCUGCAAUUCAGAAACCGGAAUUUCAAUACAAAAUGUAUCUAAAAUUUUAA